rnacentral:lncRNA from 1 species
AACACAAAUCCUACUUUAUAAUAUGAAAGUAAUAGCUCAUUUAACACCUAUCACUACGGAUCUACUACACGAUGUGAAACAGUAAAACGAACACAUUAUAAUUGAGUCGGAACAACUUGUAUUCCAUCAAAUUCCACUUGAAUUACAUAGUCAACACUUAGUCAUUGUUCAUAGGCUAAAGAGAUACCUGGAAAGCAAAAUACUAGAGAAGUGAGAAUACCAGCAUUAAACAACAGUAGAAAUCAACAGUUCUCAACCAAUUAUGGACCCAAAAUGAAGCAAAACAGUCUAGAAAAUUAAUUUCAACCCCAACAAUGAACCAGAAAACUCCAAAUAGACUUGAUUUCACUUCAUUUCAGCUAUUAGUUACCCAAAAUUGUUUCAACACUAGGAAAAGUUCAGAAAUCACCAACAGGAUUCAAUGAAAUAGUAAAAACAGUGCAGCCGUUUGAUUUUCUUGAAUUUUUCAGCUCUUUUUUUUUCAAUGAAAUAGUAUAAUUUGCAACUUUUUUGUAUUUUUUCUCGGUUUUCAGCUAUCAAAAAAUCUGCCUUCUAUGGCAAGAAAUGGUGCCUUUAUAGGAAAGCAAAUAGGACAGCCUUUAAGAUUUAGUUUUUUUACCCCUUGCCCCUUUUUGAAUUUUCAUUUUAGCUUUUGGUAUUCCUCAACUUGCUAUCCAAGUUUUACCUCUCAUAUUUCUGAAAUUCAAAAAGGACCCCUCACUAGAAGCUUCCUAGGCAGUUACACUAAGAUUCCCUAAGUUAGAUUACCUAUACUACCCUUGAUGACCCUGAAAAUUACCUAAGCUACCCAAAUAGACUUGGGCUCAAAAUAGCUGGAAAUCAUUGAAUUGGGCCAAAAUGACUCAAAGAGCCCAAGGCUACAUCCAAACUAGCCCACAUUUAUAUCCAAGUCCCAAAUUCUGACCCAACCCUAUUAACAAUUUCACAAUGUCUUUCCAAAAGAGCGCAUCCAACUUUAAAAUUUGUAACCUAAAUUAGUUCUAUCGUUUUAACAAAAUCAAGAAAAGUUAACCCAAGGCUAUUAAUUGUACGAAUUAACAUAGAAAGAAGAAAAAAGAAAAAAAAAACACGAGAAGAAAAGGCAGCAUGGAGAUGGAGGAGAUAGAACAGAAAUGAACCAAAAUUAUUAAAUUGACGAGGAAGACAAUGGAGAUAAUACUUUGCCUAGACAAAACUUGAUGACCUCUAUGGCUUCGACUUGACUCGAAGCAAAUAUUGACCAUAUGUUCUCAAGGAAAACUAAGGGCCAAUAUCCGUUUCAAAUCAUAUUGCCCAAAGGAGUUUGAAAACUUGAUGGGUGCUUCUCUCCUCUAUUUGCAGAUUUGAGAUUGUAUUUAUUUGGCAAGGUUCUGGGGAAACAUGGCGGCAGAUUGGGGUUAGAGAGAGUGAAAAGGUAGCAUGGACGAGGUUUGAGGUUGAACAGGGGUGGCGCCGCUACUAGAGAAACUGCGACGGUGCUAGAAUUUUGAUCUUUGAUUUGAUAUUUGAGAAAUUCCACAAAGAUUCGAAGGAAAUAGAUGCCAGAUUUUUUAUGAGGUGGUGGAAAGGGUGUUGUGGUGAAAAUUUUGUUGGGAAUGGACGCCGGCCUCCACCGUAGGCGAUUUAUGGCGGUGGUAGAUGGGGAUGAUGGGCGAGGGAACUGCUCUCUUAGAGAGACUAGUGGGGAUGGUGGGGGGUCGAAGUACAGGGGUACGAGGUUGUUUGGACGUUGAUAUGUGAAAUGGGGAAGUAAGGAUGACUGUUUUAUUGAAGGAGAUCAACAGCCCAGAUCAAGACUUAAACAAAACGGGGUCGUUUGGUGGGGUAUGGAGACAGAUUGGGGUGGGGGAAGGUUUUUGGCCAAAAUAAAUGGGUAUUAAGUGUGACUGACUUGGGCUCGUGAGAAUUUAAAUAAAGAACAACCUAAAAUUGGUUUACUUAUUUUCCUUUUCCAAACACCUUUUUAAUUCCUUUUCUUUCAUUUUUCUCUUUUUUCUAAAAAUAAAAAUAACACUCAACUCAAUUCUUAACCUAAAUUAUCCUAGAAAAUUAAAUUAAUUGACCCUAAUAAUUAUUACAACUAAUUAAAUGCCAAAUUAAAGGAAAACCAAAUAAAUUCAAAUCUAAAAAUUUGAAUAAUGCAUCAUAAACCAUUUUUGUGAUUUUCCCCUUUUCAUAAAACAUCACAUUUUCUAAUUAAUCCUAAAAUGUAAAGUUAAAUCCUAAGAAUGCAAAUGCAAUAUUUUUGUAUUUUUUCACCAAUUAAAAUGCACAAAUAAAAAUGCAAAAAACUAACAGCAAAAGCCAUAAAUCACUGAAAGAAACUAUUUUGUUUUGAAUUUAUGAAAGUAAUUUAUAUAGGGCAAAAAUUAGGUGCUUACAGGUGUCAGUAUUUGCUCGGAAACACGAAGAGUUUUCGGGCAAAGAUAAAGUAAGCGGAUACGAGCGAUUUUUGCCCGUUUGAAUACUCUGUGUGAAGCAUUUUGAAAAAUUUGAGCGCACCUUGCUUCUGAGAUUGCCUACAUAUCCUUGGCUAAAAAGGAAUCAAGUCAGUGUAGUUCGGGAAUGUCUGGUAGCUGGGGCUACAAUGAAGCUAUGAUUUCACUGUUGUUGUUGUUGUUGUUGCUGCUGCUACUGUUAUUGAACCCCCGUAUUAUACCAUGUCAAAAUAAAAAGAAGCUAGCCUAGGCUAUGCUCUAUGCAUUACAAAAGUCCUAUGUAUAUCUUCAAACUUGCUCUUGUGCUUCUUGUUGCCUUGUUGUCUUGUAUUCUCUUGGUGAAAUUCCUUUGUUGCCGCCUUGAGUUAUAAACUGAGAUGUUUUCCCUUUCUCCAGGUGGAUGCCUGACUGCUAAAUUUGAAUGUAUUCCCAUGCUCUCCAGGCGGGCUCCUGACUUCAAAAUAGACUAAACAAAGAAACUUUUCUGCCGCAUUUUGGGUAUCUGGGCACAUAUGUAAGUGUAAAAUGAACCACAUUACCACAUAUCAAUAAGAAUUUGAAAGCCAAAACUUGAAUUGUACUCUUUUUUUCUCCAGGUGGGCUCGUGACUGUUGUGCUUGAAUGUAUUCCGAUGCUCUCCAGGCGGGCUCCUGAUUUCUCAACUUGAAAGUAUUUCGAUGCUCUCCAGGCGGGCUCCUAACUUCAACAUAGACAAAACAAAGAAUUUGAAAACUAAAAUUUAAACUGUACUCCCUUGUUCUCCAGGCGGGCUCCUGACUACUACGCUUGAAUGUAUUCCCGUGCUCUCCAAGCGGGUUCCUGAUUGCUGAACUUGAAAGUAUUCCCAUACUCUCCAGGUGGGUUCCUGACUUCAAAAUAGACAAAAAAAAUUAAAAGCUAAAAUUUAAAUUGUACUCCCUUGUUCUCCAGACAGGCUCCUAACUGCUGCGUUUGAAUGUAUUCCCAUGCUCUCUAGGAGGGCUUCUGAUUGCUGAACUUGAAAGUAUUACCAUAUUCUCCAGGCAGGCUCCUGACUUUAAAAUAGACAAAAUAAAGAAUUUGAAAGUUAAAAUUUAAAUUGUACUCCCUUGUUCUCCAGACGCGCUCCUGACUGCUGCGCUUGAAUGUAGUCUCAUACUCUGUAGGCGGGCUCCUAAUUGCUCAACUUGAAAGUAUUCCCACGCUCUCCAGGUGGGUUCUUGACUUCAAAAUAGACAAAACAAAUAUUUUGAAAGCUACAAUUUAAAUUGUACUCCCUUGUUCUCCAGGCGAACUUCUGACUGCUACACUUAAAUGUAUUCCCAUUCUCUCCAGGCGGGCUCCUUAUUGUUGAACUUGAAAGUAUUCCCAUGCUCUCCACGCGGGCUCCUGACUUCUAUACUUAAAUUACUUCCCCCUGUUCUUCAAGCGGAUACCUGAUUUCAACAAAAACAUACAAAACAAUGAAAAUUUUCUGCCCCAUUUUGGUAGCUGGACACAGAUGUGAGUGUAAAAUCGAAUCAUUUUACCAAAUAUUACUAAGAAUUUUAAAUCUAGGUCCCAUUAUCCAGGGGGUUCUGACAACUUUUAAUUAAACGACUAUUAUACAUCUAAGUUAUAUCUUCUAAAAGUGUGACUUCCGCUAAAUCUUGUUAUCUAAGAGGGUCUUAGACUACUCCCCAUUAUCCAGGAUUAUGCUACUCAUGAUUGUUUUGAAAUUUAAACUAAGUCCCAUUUUCCAGGCGGGUCCUGGGAGUUUACGGUCAAACCUGAUUAGUGCUUGAUCUUCCUUUACAGAGAGUUCCUACGGAACAAAUGAACUUUUCUACCCCUGUUUCAAUCAAAGAAAUUUUUAUCAGUUUAAAAUGGUGGUUAGUUGAUGGCAUUCCUAUUGAAGAUAUUUCUGUUGCAUUGUUUUGUUUUGACUGGCUUUCGCGAACUGGCCCUGAACCGCUUGACUUUCUGACUAACUUUCAAACCCCAUGAACUUUGACGACCCGAGUGUUUCAUAACCAUGCUGUUGUUUUACACCUCUGACCCCUUUAUCUGGACCUUUGUAUCUCCCAUGAAAUUACCUAAUAAUUCCACCGAUUAAACUUUCGGUGACUCCUUGUAUCCCACUUUACAUCAUGCUAUAUUUCGUAUGUUCUAGCCACACUGUGCUUUGCAAUUUUGGAAUAUGGUAGUGAGCUUUGAAAUCCUUUCUUAUUUUCUUUGAACAAUAUUGACAUUGAAACAUCUUAGACAAAUAAACCCCAAAAGAAAAUGAAAUGCAAUGAUUUUGUGAGUUAAGGAUAAGAAGAAUCCAAUACCGGAUGACUGCUAAAAAGAGAAAGAAAAGAAACUUAUCUGAAUGGAACAGGUGGUACAAAUGAUCAUGACAUGCAUUUCUAAUUAAUCGGCCCGAUCUGUCCAACCGAUUAACUUUCAGCUGCCAUACUGUGUUGCCCCAGAAUUUCCAUGACCUGAUUACAUUACCCAAACCUUGACCUUGUUCAUCCUGCGGUGCCUUGAAACAGUUUUCCACCAACAGACCUUUCCCAUUUAUUCACUUCUUAACUCACUUUUGCCUCAAGGUGCCCGUGAGGGUUCACCAAUAAGAUUCUCUCAUUUUAAUUUCUCUCAGCUCCCGUCGGCUUACGGUGCCCGUGAGGGUUUUCACCAAUAAGACUCUCUUAUUUUAUUUCUCUCAGCUCCCGUCGCCUUACGGUGCCCGCGAGGGUUUUCACCGAUAAGACUCUCUCUUUUUUGGUUUUUCCUGCUUGAACCAGAGUAUUUCCCCUGACAUGAAUUAUCUUUACCUGCUUGACUUGGAAUUUCUCGAAGACUGAUCAGAAGGUCUUUUUUUGGACCGUAACGUGGGCUUUUGGAUGGGGUUAGAAAUAAAGGGUAUAAGAUGCUCAAAACAAUUCAACCGGGUUUCAAAUUACAACUUUCGGAAUCAGAUUUCUCACGAUAACCAAAACUUCUGCCUCAGUUUCUUGCUUGGAGACUUUUGAAUUUUUGUCCGAUGGGAUCGAAUCGUGAGGCUGCCUACGCAUCCUUAAAAGGAAUCAGGUCAAACGUAGUUCAUGUCAUAGAAAUUGAUUUUUUGUGAUUUUUCUUUUCUUUCCUUUUUCUUCUUUUCUCUUUUUGUUUUUCCCCUUUUUUCUUUUUCUUUCUUUUUAAUUCUUCUCUUUUCUUUUUCUUUUUCUUUUCUUCUUUCUUUUCAUUCUUUUCAUUUACUUGUCCUUCGCACUUGCAUUUCUGAAUUGUGCCAUUGAUUCCGAAAGAGUGGUAUGAAAGAAAAUAAAUAAGUCUCAAAGGGAUGAUGAGGGAUAAAGUAGUUAGAUAGCAGAACAAAAUGCCUUCGUCAUUUCAAUCUUCAAAAUAUGCCAAAUACAAAAAAGUACAAUUAAGCAAAGAAAACAUAUAUAGCAUCUCUUGACUACAUCAGAAUUGAUAGCCAUUUCUACACAUUUGCCUUCUACAUCCGUCAAAUACAAGCACCGUUCGAUAACACUCCACUUACAAUGAAUGGCCCUUGUCUGUUUGGAGCAAACUUGCCUUUGGCCUCAGCCUGAUAUGGAAAGAUAGAUCUCAACACUUGUUGACCCACUUCAAACUUCCGUGGACGCACCUUCUUAUUAUAUGCUCUCGCCAUUCUUUGUUUAUACAAUUGUCCAUGACACACCGCCGCCAAUCUUUUCUCAUCGAUGAAACUCAACUAUUCAAGACUGGUUUUGACCCAUUCAUCAUCAUCGAUCUCAGCCUCUGCGACAAUUCGAAAGGAAGGAGUUUCCACUUCUGCGGGUAUCAUUGCUUCGGUGCCAUACACCAACAAAUGAGGAGUCUCCCCUACUAAAGUUCGAACAGUGGUGCAAUACCCCAACAAUGCAAAAGGCAUCUUUUCAUGCCACUGUCUAGAACCCUCCACCAUUUUUCGAAGUAUCUUCUUUAUAUUCCCUUUGGCCGCCUCAACUGCUCAAUUUGCCUUAGGGCGGUACAGGGUAGAAUUGCAAUGGGUAAUCUUGAAAUGCUCACAUACCUCUUUCAUCGAAUGACUAUUGAGAUUAGCUCAAUUGUCUGUAAUGAUCACCUCUAGAUCGCAAGCCGACAUAUAAUGAAUGCAACAACUUUCUUAAUUACGGACUUGAACGUUUUAGCCUCUACCCACUUGAUGAAAUAAUCUAUGGCCACCAAAAUUAACAUGUGCCCAUUUGACGCUGCUGGCUAAUUGACAUCCAUGCCCCGCGCAACAAGAGGCCACAGUGCAGACAUCGUAUGUAAUUUUGACGGUGGAGAAUGAAUCAAAUCUCCAUGCAUUUGGCAUUGAUGAAAUUUGCGUACGAAACUGAUACAAUCCCGCUUCAUAGUGAGCCAAUAAUAACCUGCUCGGAGAAUAUUUUGGCCAGUACGUACCCGCUCAUGUGUAGCCCACAGACUCCAGAAUGUACUUCAUCCAUAAUAAUUGUGGCCUGUCUAGCAUCUAUACAUCUCAACAAUCCAAGAUCUGAAGUUUUCUUGUACAGAACCCCUCCUCUGAUGAAAAACCCGCUUGCCAAUCGCCUAAUUGAUCUCUUUUGAUCACAUGUGGCUUGUACUAGAUACACCCCCAUUCUGAUAUAUUCCUUAAUAUCAUGAAACCAAGGUUUCCCAUCAAGCUCUUCUUCAACCACAUUACAAUAAGCAUGCUGAUCGCGGACCUGAAUCUACAAAAGGGUCCACAUAAACCUUAUUUGGAUGGUGUAACAUUAAAACCAGUAUAGCAAAAGCAUCGAAAAUCCCAUUGUGAAUCCUUGGAAUAUGCCUGAAAUCUAAUGAUUGAAACCGUUGACAAAGAUCAUUCAAACCUUGUAGGCACGGUAUGAGCUUCAAAUCCCGUGUUUCCUAUUCCUCUUGAAUCUAGUGUACCAGACGGUCUAAGACACCCAAGACCAAGACUUCCUGGACACCCAUAUCUAUAGACAUCCUCAAACCCAAAAUACAUGCUUCGUACUCAACCAUGUUAUUAGUACAGUAGAAUUUCAGUUGGGCAUAACAGGGUAAUGAUGCCCUAUUUCAGAAAUAAGUACCGCUCCUAUCCCAACGACUUUCAUGUUAGCAACCCCAUCAAAGAAAAGUCUCCAUCCUGGCUUCUCAAACUAUUCCAACUCAUCAAUAUGCAUUACCUCUUCAUUAGGUAAAUAAGUCUUUAAUGGUUCAUACUCUUCAUCUACUGGAUUCUCGGCCAAAUGGGCAACUAAUGCAUGGCCUUUCAUUAUCGUCCGAGUUACGUAGACGAGUUCUAUGAGAAAGAUCUACCAUUUUGCAAGCCUCCCUGUGUGUAUAGGCUUCUGAAAGAUAUACUUCAAUGGAUCCAUGUGAGAUAUGAGGUAAGUAGUAUAAGAUGACAAAUAAUGCUUCAACUUCUGUGCUACCCAAGUUAGGGCACAACAUGUCCUCUCAAGAUGAGUAUACUUAACCUCGUACGAUGUGAACUUCUUCCUGAGAUAAUAGAUGGCCUGCUCCUUUCUGCCAGUGAUAUCAUGUUGGCCCAAUAUACAACCAAAUGAAUUGUCUAAUACUAUCAAAUAUAGAAUCAAAGGCCUCCCUGGUUCUGGUGGGAUCAAUACCGGUGGAUUUAACAAAUAUCCCAUUAUCUUAUCAUACGCUUCUUGACAUUCAUCUGUCCACUUGACCGCAUCGUCCUUCUUUAACAGUUUAAAUAUUGUCUCACAAAUUGUCGUGAGCUGAGCAAUGGACAUGCUGAUAUAAUUCAACCUCCCCAACAAACUCAUCCCCUUGGUCUUGUUCCUCAGAGGUGGAAAUUCCUGGAUAGCUUUGAUUUUUGGUAGGUCCAGCUCAAUACCUCGGCGGCUGACUAUGAAUCCCAAAAAUUUUCCAGACGGCACCCCGAAAACGCACUUUGCAGGAUUGAGAUUAAGAUUGUACCUGCGAAGCCUUUGGAAGAACUUCCUAAGGUCCCUGACAUGGUCAGACUGCUUUUGACUUUACGAUGACAUCAUCCACAUACACCUCGAUCUCCCUGUGUAUCAUAUCAUGGAAUAUCGUUGUCAUUGCCCUCAUACAGGUUUCCCCAGCAUUCUUCAAACCAAAUGGCAUGGCCCGAUAGCAAUACGUCCCCCAUGGCGUGAUUAAUGCCAUCUUUUCUGCAUUUUCCUCGUCCAUUAAAAUCUGGUGAUACCCCGCAUAACAAUCCACAAAAGAACCAAUCUCAUGUUUGGCACAAUUAUAAAUCUAUAUAUGGAUGUUUGGAAGUGGGAAGCCAUCCUUGGGACUUACUUUGUUGAGAUCUCAAUAAUCAACACACACCUUGGUCUUGCCAUCCUUCUUUGGUAUCGGCAUGACAUUAGCUAACUAGGUGGGAUACCACAUGACCCGAACGGCUUUCGCAUCAAACUGCUUGGUAACCUCUUCUUUGAUAUUUACACUCAUAUCCAUUUUAAACAUUCUCAGCUUCUGUUUGACAGGCAUGAAUGUCGGGUCAGUGGGCAAUUUUUGAACCACUAAAUCAGUGCUUAGACCCGGCAUGUCAUCAUAUGAUCAUGCAAAAAUAUUUUUGUAUUCAAACAGUGCUUUGAUUAUAUCCUUCCUGAGUUGUGGCUCCAGAUGGACACUUAUUUUAGUUUCACGGACAUUAUCUUGGUCCCCUAAAUUGAUUGCUUCGGUGUCGUUCAGGUUAGGCUUGGGUUUUUCUUCAAAAUGGCUUAAUUCUUUACUAAUCUCCUCAAAGGCCUUAUCAUUGUCAGAUCCCAACUCAUCAUAUCACUCAUUUUCUUGUAUUAUUAUUUCCGAAUUAGAUUGGCUUUUUAGAGUGGGCCGAGGAUUCAUCAUGCAUGUUGAUAACUAUGAAUUAUACAUGUUUUAUACCCCUUCUUACAUGAGCUUCGUGCAUAAGGUGCUUUAAAUUAGUCCUAAAUUGCUUACAAGGAGCGUUUAAUUGCAGGUUUGAGUGACUAGAUGAUACAUUUCUCAAAUUGGAUCAAAAGUGGAGUGAAACCUGCCAAGCGCCAAAAGAUAAUUGAAAGCAGGAAAAAGGUGACCUAUACGGACCGCACUGUUCUGAUAUACGGCCGUGCUGAAGAGUUCUGCAGAAUGUCAAGUCAAGCCUGACUUGUGCGAUCCACCCUGUUUUGCCACGCGGUCGUGCAGGAAAGUUCACAUGGUGAUCAGAAAUGAUAAAAUCCCACACGGAUUGCAUCCAAUUCCACCCAGUCCAUGCUGACAAAAGAUCAGAGGCUUAGUAAUUCAAGGCACAAUCUCACGUGGCCGCACACCAAAACAGUGAUGUCCGUGUGGAUAAAAGUUUAGAGAGUCAACAAUUGGCCAAGUUCUACAGUGCGACUGUGCAAUAUUUCUACCCGGUCCACAUAAGUCUAUAGUGCUGCCGCACACAAUUUUCACGCGGUCCACCUUAUUCAACCUAUGUGGCCGCGUGGAAUUUCUAUGCGGUCCGCAUCUCCCAGUACAGAAGCACAGAUCUGAAGACCUCAUGCCCUACGCGGCCGCAUGACAUUUCUAUGCGGUCCGCGCCAGACCCUCAGGGGUAUUUUAGUUCGGUUUUUCCUGUGUAGUAUAAAUAGAACACUUUACUUGUUUAGGUUAAGCUUUAUGAUCUCUGUAGUAGCUGAGCUCGAGACUAGUUCAUAUUAGCCUACUUUAGGCAAAUUUCUCUUGUAAUUAACGUGGAUUCAAGUAGAUUAAGCUUGUUGUCAAUGAUAAUGUUAAUUUCUUCUAGUAUUUCUUAUUUUUCUACUUCUUCCAUGUCUAGCUAAACCCAUUAGCUAGGGUUGUGGCUCAACCCUAGUGUAGGUAAUUAUUGGGUGUUUUUGCUUGAUUCUUUGAUGAUACUGGGUGUUUGGUAUUUGGGUUUUUUGUAUGUUUUCACUUAGAUUUGGUGGUUGCAAACACUAAGUCUAGCUUAGUGGAUUUUGACUCUUCUUGAGAAAGAGAGCCUAUGACCUCACAUUCAAUCCAACAAGGAUUUGGGAUGGACCCAUGAGAAUGAUAGUCCCAAGUAAUGGAUAAAACCUCGCGAGACCGCACUGUUCUGAUGUGCGGCCGCGCAGAAGAAUUCUGUAGAAUGCCAAGUCAAGCAUGACCUAUAGGUUCUUUUACCCUGUUUUGUCACACGACCGUGCAGGAAAGUUCAAAGAGUUAUAAAAAAUGAUGAAACCCCACGCGGACCGCAUCCAUUUCAACGCGGUCCACUUUCUUGACUCAAUUGAGUAGUUCACUUCUUUUAGGGUCUAGAGAGAUACAAUAUCACUCUUUCUUUUGCAAUUCAAAACUUUUCUCCUUUUGUAUACUUUUCCACACAUUUUCAAUUUUUGUUGUCCUUUUGAUUCCUUUUUUUAUUCUUGUUCUCUUUUUGUCUACUCUUUUUGUCCUUCUUUUUGUCUUUUUGUCUUUUUCAUUGCCUUCCUUUUCUUUUUCUUUUGUGCCUUUCUACCACAUUGAUGCUUUUCUUGUCUCCCCCCCCCCUAAACUUAGUCAUUUGCCACUACUCAAGGUAAGAUUUGGGUGUCAAGAGAAGGUCUAGUUGAGAAUGGAUAUAGGCUUGUAAUUUGGUUCAUGAAAGAAUAAGGUUUUUGGCCCUGCUUUUUGAUUUUUAUUUGGAUGAUAGUACAUAGUCUUUACUUUCAUUACUUUAGUAGAAAUAGAUGACGUGUAUAUAAAUCUUCAUUCUGAACUCCCUUAGUUGUAUAUUCUACUCCCCUUGUGUACAUAUUCAUUUGGUUUUCAUUGGUGUUUUUUACUUUCAUUAAAAAAUUUUGUUUUCAUUUUAGUUACAAAGUUAGGCUCGUAGCCUUUUUGGUUUUGUUUUGGCACCAGCAAUAAGCCCUUAGUUUUAUUAAUGCCACGGUUCUUUCCAAGGGUAGAAUAUUGUGCGAACCGGGUGGCUCUUCCCAAUGAUAGAUAGUGUGACAACUUUCUUAAAGGUUGAGUCAAUUAUUCAAUUUUCUAUUUGAUUUUCAAGUUUUUGUAAUUAAGGGUACCUCAAUCAAAGCUUCACUUAGGCCUAGCACAUUUGCCUUUGAUCUUAUGGUCAAAGACAUUAAGUUGUGUUUCGGAUGGUGAAAGUUGUGACCUUGAGACUCUUGUAUUGACCAAACAAUCAUCCUAUGGUCAUGUUGGGCCAUUGUGCGCUUGAAUUGUAUCUAAGGUCGUUGUGGGACCUUCCUUGAGUGCGUGUGGUGAGAAUUCGAUUUUUUAGCCCAAGUACCAUGCCGAUGGUCGACCUUCUCUUGGCACUCAAAUCUUCCCUCGUGUAGUGGAAAAUGACUAAGUUUGGGGGGGUGGGGGAAGGGGGGACGAGAAAAGCAUCAAUGUGGUAGAAAGGCACAAAAACAAAAGAAAAGAAAGGCAAUGAAAAAUAGAAAAAGACAUAAAGAAAGACAAAAAGAGAAUAAGAAUCAAAAAGUAAAUCAAAAGGACAACAAAAGGUGUGGAAAAGUAUACAAAAGGAGAAAAGUUUUGAAUUGUAAAAGAAAGAGUGAUAUUGUAUCCCUCUAGCCCCUGAAAGAAGUGAAAUACUCAAUUGAGUCAAGAAAGUGUGCCAAAAUAAAUCAAAAGAAAUACUUAAGGGAAAAUUGAAACCAUUGGAACAACAUCAUAUCCUACCUUCACCCAAAAGCCUUCACAAUGACUCCUCAAAAGCCCUAUUUAAUCUCGAGUUAAGGAAAGCCUACAUUAGUGGAUACUUACAUGAAGGACAAGCAUAUGGUGCUUACAGCCAGACUUAAGGCCAUUUCUUUGUGAGAGAUGAGAGAGAUAUCAUUCACAUGUCAUGUAAUUGGUACCAACAUAAAAAGAACUGUACAAGAAAGAAAAGAAAAAGAAAAAUAAAAUUAUCAGAAAUGAAGAAGAAAAGGAAAAUUGCAUUUCAUUGAUAUUCAAAGAUAACAAGGUUUAACACAUCCAAAUGGACGGAACAUAGUAUCUGAACUGCAACCCAUGAAAUAAUCCAGACAAAAAGAAAACCAAAGCCCACUACCAAAACUCCCUCCGAAUAGGGAGAGGGGUAGCUUCCCAAUUGUUGAUUUUUGCACAUGGUCCCAUAAACUGCACAUCCUCAUUGCUUGGACCCUCUCCCGAUUCUACCACGUUAACAUCACCGAACAAUAUCUCGAACCGCUUUUCCAAAUUUCCAUCAACAUCAAUCAAUGGAUAGGGAACCAUUGUUGUUGGACACUUCUUGGCACUUGGCUUGACGAAUGACCUAGACAAACAUGGGACGAGCUUUGGAAGGGCCCACGCUCUCUUCUUCAUCCUUAAGGCUCAUAUAAUGUCCGCAGAUGUGGGAUUAAACCCCAAACCAAAUGUAUCCAGCUUCUUAGGAAGAGAAGCUGGAUGCACAAUGCCUUGAAGAGCAGCACCCAAACCCUUUCUCGGUAUGAAACCAUUCUUCAACAUCUCAGAGGCCACCAUGAUAGUUGCGGCCGUUACUUUAGGAACCAUAAUGAUUUUCCCCUAGGGGAUCUUAUCAACUGAUACUUUGUCAAAAGUUUGAUACACCCACAGUCCUUUGUCGUCUUCAACAUUGAUAAAAGGCAUUAUGACAUCACUCAAAGCACACAUAUUAUCUUUACCGUGUACAGUAAUCUCUGUCUGUCCCACUCAAAUUUAACCAUUUGGUGCAAGGUAGAUGGAACUUCCUUGGCGACAUGAAUCCAAGGUCGUCCAGCAGAAUAUUAUAAGAAACUGCCACAUCUAGCACUUGGAAUUCCAUAGUAAACUCCACUGGAUCUAUUGUCAAUUCUAGUAUUAUGUCACCCAUUGAAUCUUUGCCCCUUCCGUCGAAUCCAUGCACACAAAUGUUGUUUUUAUGGAUUCUAUCAUCGUCGACUUCCAGCUUAUUCAACAUAGAUAGAGGAAAGAUAUCCGCACUAGACCCAUUGUCGAUAAGAAUUCGGGUGACUACAUAACCUUCGAACUUCACCAUCGGAUAAAAGGCCUUGUUAUGCUCAGUACCCUCCACUGGCAAUCGUCAGAGAAAGUAACUCUAUUCACCUCAAAGAUGUUGUUUGCUAUCUUCUCCGGGUGAUUUACUGAGAUCUUGUCAGGGAUGUGGCCUCAUUCAAUAUUUUCAUCAGCGCCCAGUGGUGCUCAUCUGAAUGGAUCAGCAAUGAGAGAAAUGAGAUCUGGGCAGGUGUAUUCUUCAAUUGUUCGACAAUAGAAUAAUCAUGUACUUUCAUCUUCUUCACGAAUUCUUCCGCUUCCUCUUCGGUCACAACCUUCUUUACCAAUAACGGGUUAUCUUUGGGGAUUUUGGAUAUUCUUAACUCUUCGGGGGCAAAGCACCUCCCUGAAUGAGUUAGACCACGAGCUUCACAAACCUCUUCUCUAACUUUUUUCCCUUUAUACGUCACUAUUACUUGUUCAUAAUUCCAGGGAACAUCCUUGCUGUAGAUUACUGGCAGCUGAGUUACUAGUUUUAUAAUAACAGGCUUGGUGUGAGCAUCAUUUACGACUACAACAGGUUUACUUGCUACCCCUGGUACCACCACUUUAGCUUUCUCAGGUUUCACUGCAACAAUACUUGACGAUCUAUUUGGCCACCAAAGCUGGCUUACUGUUAGUCCCUUUCAACUGGACUACUGAUUUCCCACAUUUGGCUUUUCAUUUGGCCUGACUUCGCUGGAGCAGAUCAUCAUUAUCGUUUGUGAGGGUUUCUUAGGCUCCUCUCCUUUAUGUAUCAAAUCGAUCAUAUUGAUCUCAGGAUGGGCUGGCAAAGGAUUUUGAUUGGUAUUAGGUGCCUUUAAAGCCUGAACCUCGAUCCGAUGGGUGUCAAUAAGCUAUUGAACAACUAUUUUCAAUUUCCAACACUUCUCUGUGUCAUGUCCUGGGGCCUCUGAACAAUACUCACAACUCACCGAGUGGUCUGGAUUUUUUUAAGGGGGAUCUGCUAUUUUGGGCUCAAUUGGAUUCAACAUUCCCAACUGCCACAACCUAUGGAAAAGACUGGUAUAUGAUUCUCCCAGUGGAGUGAAAGUCUUCUGCUUCUGUAAUCUCUCACUUUUAAAGGCUUGGUUUGGUUGGAAACCUAUUCUGGGGGGAUUUCUGUAGUCUCUUGGGGGUGGAUAGGUGUUUUGUGGGACUGAGUAUGGAUAUUUGGAGCAGGCGCAUGCCAUUGUUUGUGAGCACGGGGUUGGAUGUAAGUUUUUAUGUGAUGGACAGAAAAAUGGGGAUCUGGCAGUGAGUGGUAGUGUUGUGGUGGGCUAUAUGGAGUGUGGGGGGUAAUUUUGGUGGUGGGUUCGGGCUUGGUUAUAGUAAAGUGAUGAGUAUUUAGAUCCGAACCAUGCUCCAGACUCAAUUGUCGCAACUUCGUCUUUCUUCUUUUUCUUAAGUACACCCCCAGUGCCAUUUUGAAUGGCCUGGGUGGUUGCCUUAAUUUAUGAAUAACUCAUGAUCUUGUUGGAAUUAAGUCCCUCCUCAACCAUGCCUCCCAUUUUUACAACCUCAUUAAAAGACUUGCCUAUCACUGACACCAAAUGACCAAAAUACAUCGGCUCCAAAGCCUACAAAAAGUAAUCAUCUCACUCUCUUUCAUUGGGGGAUCGACCCUUGCGACUUGCUCCCUCCAACAGAAUCCAUAUUCUCUGAAACUCUCACUGGGCUUUUUCUCAAUUUUUGUCAAUGACAGACGCUCUGGGAUAAAUAAAAGAUUGUACUGAAAGUGGCAUGUGAACGCUUGGGCCAAAUCGUCUAGGUGUACCUCCUAUCAUGGUCCUGUCGCCUGUACCAUUCCAAUGCUGACCCACUUAGAAUUUGGUUGAAGUAUGCCGUCGGUAUUUCAUCUCUUCCACCUGCUCCUCUCAUCUUGCUGCAAAACCCUCUCAAGUGUGCUACCGGAUCGCCAUGCCUGUCGUACGGAUCAAAUUUAGGUAUCUUGAAUCCUGCUGGUAGUUAAACAUCUGGGAACAGACAUAAAUCCUUAUAUGCCACACUUACUUGGCCUCCCAACCCUCUCAUAUCUCUGAACGAUUUUUCCAAGCUCUUUACUUUCCAUAACAUCUCUUCCUGCUCCGGGUUCAUAGGUGGCUUUUCAGUUUCUGUCGGGAGAACAAAAUAAAAAUAUGGUUCUGGCACUUUGAAGGUAGGCUAGGGAGGGUAGUACUAGUUGUGGUGAGUCUAGAACAGAGGCUCUAUGGAUGAUCGUUGCAAUGUGGCAUAUGGGGGUGCCACAAAGACAUGAAUGACUAGUGAAGGAGGGUAUGAGACUUGUUUGGGUGGUGGAGCUUGGGAAGUGUGGGAGUGGUGCCAUAGCACUGUUGGUUGAGGGGGAAGGCGGUAGAUGAGUUCACAGUGGGAGGCUCCAGAGGUUGGGCAAAUAUUGGGAUAUAAGCAAGAUUAGCGGGAUAAACUGGUGGUGGAUGCCCCUUUGACCAAGACUAGAACAUCUCAGCCAUUUGCUGUUUUAACUUGUUCAUCUCUUCCCUCAUUGCAGCAACAUCCACUUCUUCCACCUCUUUUAAGGGGUCAAUAAUACUUGCCUCCAGUUCUUGGUUGGUCAUUUUCAGCUUGUCUUUUGACCGGGUGUUGUAGGAAUAGGUUGCCAGAAUGCCAAUCAACCAACCACCUGCCUGAACUCAAUACAUCAACAACAACUUGGUUAGUGGUUAGGGCAUUAACAGAUUUGAUAACAACACAUUUGGGGAAUGAAUGCACCUUAAGCAGUUAACCAUUUCUAUUAUGCAUUUGCUCGGCUGCUUGCGUCAUCCCGACUUUCCUUAUUCCCAAUUUCAAACUUCUUUUUUUUUCUUUUUUUUCCCAUUCUUGCCUUUGUUUUCUCUUUGUUUUUAUUCUCUCAUUCCCCUUUGUUUUGCCAUUGUUUCUUUCUUUUGGUUUCUUAUUUUCUCUCCUUUUUGUUUUUCUUUUCUCUCUUGUUUUUCCUCUCCUUUUCUUUUUAUUUUUUUCAUUCGGUUACAGUUGAAUUCUAUGGAUAUUGCCUACGUAUCAUGACCCUGCAUGAAUCAGACCUAGCGUAAUUCUUGGAAAAUAAAUGUAAAAUAGAUAACAAAAUAUUUUGGGAUUUUUCGAUUUUCAUAAAAAGCAAAUACUUUGAUUACAAUGACUCAAAACUGACAGACUUAAAAAACUAACAAACUCUGAUGAAAAGACAAGAUGCAGAUUUCAAAACAAAAGAAAAUACAGACUCAAAAAUAACUUACAGACUCCAGCGAAAAGAAAGUACAGACUCAAAACAACUGACAGACUCUAAAGGGAUCUUGUUCUUAACUGUUAUUGGCAAACUUGGACUCGUGCUCAUUUUGCACAUUUAUUAGGGUGAUUAAGUAACAAUUACUCAAAAGCAAAGGUGGCACUUUUUCUUCAAAUUAAAAGAUAAAGACCCGAUUUUACAAAUACGGCCUUUCAGCAUCUCGGAGACGAAGAUUUUAAGGCUAUGUGGGCUAAACGGUCAAAACCUUGAAAAAUGACCAAAGGAGGCUGUUCUUGCAAAAGCAGCCUUCCGACGCCCUUUUAGGGAUAUUCGACUAUUUUUUAUAAGAUGACAUCACCCUAAUUAUUUUAAAAUAAAAAUAAAUUAUUUGUUCUUUUCGAGAUAUUUUGCAUAAGGGAAGUUGGACCCGAUGGGGGUUGCCUACAUAUCCCACCUCCCGUGAGAAUCAAACUAAUGUAGUUUGGACAAAUAAAAACAAACUAUUUUUGAAAAUAAGAAUCUUUUUUUCUUUUUCCUUUCAUUUCAUUGGCAAAUAAAAUAAACUAUUUCUGAAAACAAAAACUUUUUUUCUCUUUUUUUUCAUUUUCUCAAAAAUUCGGCAAGGUUUCGACACUACUUGGACAUUGGUUUUUUUUUCCAGAACAUGCGAUUAACUCUCUAAACCCUCAUACUGCUAGUUCUCUUUUCUCAACUUUUCCCAAUAUUUAUAUGUCGGUCGGCAUGCAAGUCCGAAACAAAUAAAUGAACAAGUAGCAAGUAAGAUGCAUCAUGAUGGUCUUUUCAUUUUUUGUGCACCUGUCCUAGACAGACCCAACCCAUGUGUUGAGCCUCCAAAGUCAAAUACACAUAAUACAAACAAAAGUUUCUACUAGGGAUCCGGCAUGAGGCUGAGUUAUUCUAGGUUCAAAACCUAGGUAUUUGUUCUAGACUGUGUACCCGAGCGGACAACUCGAGUCGAGGACGGGGCUACGUACCAGGAACCAAAAGGCCAUCCGGCUUAGUAACUUGUCCAAGCCUCUUUCUUAUUUAAGGGUAUGACACUACCAGUAUAGGAAGUCUCGACCAACAAGCACAUCCCCGAAGAUGAGAAGAGAGGGGUUUCAUAGCAGUUUAUAUAUACAGUUCAAAUAAUAUCAAAGCGGUAAAACCAACAUUUUUCACAUUAGGCCCAAACAUGCAACAAAAUAAUAUAAUAAAUAAAUACAAAAACAACAAUCAUUCUAAGCUCGAAUUCUAAACCCUAAACCAGAGAUUUUGGGUUCGCUCCCUAGCAAAGUCGCCAGAGCUAUCACACCUCCUUUUUCUAUCCCCGGAAGGCUAUAAAUUAGUUUUUCCAAUUAAAGGAUAAUCAAAACGAGAUUUAUUUAAAAGAUUUAGAGCCGCCACAUAGGAGAUUUACAGUGUCCCAAGUCACCGGUUUAGAAUACCGAAUCGAGGAAAAUAGUGACUCUUUUUAACAGUCCGCGAACCAGAAAUCUGAGUAAGGAAUUAUGUUAACCCGGGAGAAGGUUUUAGGCAUUCUCGAGAUCUAUGAUUCUAGCACGGUCGCUCAACUAUUAUAAUCGGCUUAAUUAUAUGAUUUUAAACAAUUAUGAACCUACGUGCAAUUUUGACUUUUAACCGCUUUUAUUCAUUUUUUAAUAAGAUUGCAAUAUUAUUAAAACACGUCCCAAAACACGUCACAUAAAUGCACCCAUGGCUUUUGACAUAUUUUAACAUCGUUGAGAUUUGAAUUUGGGUCACAUAAAUGCGCACCCGAAUUUAGAAAAAUAAUAUUAUUAAACUAGCGUGCCUGAAGUAAUUUCGCAUUUUUAAUUUUGCGAGGGCUAUGAAAUUUACUAAAUGGCAAGCCUCGAGUUCUAAGAAUAAACAAGAUUAACUAAGACGAGUGCCGUGCAAUUGAUUAUUUUUUGUUUGACAUGACGCGCCUCAAUUCUACCUUUAAAUAACAUUCAAAACUAAACUCUUGAGGGCCAAAAUUAUAUUCUAUUCAAUAUGGCGCACCUCAUGAUUUAAUUAGCGAAAUCUAAUUAACUAAGGGAAAGAAUUAUCACUAAUUUGGAAAUUCACUCGGGAAUAACUUUAAAUUAACAGACCAAACGAGAGAGGACGAGCAUAUGGCAUAAUGGCUAGAAAAUAACUCAAAGGAGUCGUGGGCUCGAACAACUGGCCCUACGUGCAAUGGAGCAUGGCUGGUCUCCACUCUAAUCCCAACAUCAGCCUAGGCACUUGGAGGAUUGAGCAUUAACGGGUGCAAGACCCUAGAUCGAAUCCUCAAGCACGCAAAAUAACAGAAUCCAAAAUUAGCUUUUAGCAAUGCCCCAAUAUGAACCCAAACAAUAACCUUUAACUAUUCACUAGGUGAUUAUAAGGGAUUAGGACGUGAUUUGUGAAAUAAUUUACAAUCCAAUUCUUGAAAACCAUACAAUAUGCAACCUUAGCUUUAAAAGCUCCCAAACUAACAUGGAAUAGUGACAGGCAAACUAAUCUUCAACUAAGCCUUAUGUUAACAGAAAUAAUAGGAUAGAAAAGAUCUUAAAACCACCAAAUUUGUUCACUUAUCAUUCAAACAACAAUAGACAACCAAAAAAUUCUUCCAAUAUAAUUAAGCUCUAUGAAUUCUCCUUACACACAAUUCCGAAACCUGUGAACCAAACUCCAGUUUUUACCUAAACUUCAAGAAAUCAUACUAUAACUUUAAACAUGAUUUUUUAACAUUUCACACUCAUUCAACUGCAGAUGUAAGAAUGAAACAUACUGGCUAGCCAUCGCUAGUUUCAUUUGUCACAAAGCAUCCACAAAACCUGCUAAUACUACUUUAAAACAUGCUAUUUAAUGUUGAAACUAAAUAUUUAACCCCAAAUACAAACCCAACUUUACAAUAUGCAAGUAACAACUCAUUUAACACCUAUCACUACAGAUCUACUACUCGAUAUGAAACAGUAAAAGGGACAUAGAAAAAUUGAGUCGAAAUGUAUUCCAUCAAAUUCAACUUGAAUUACAUAGUCAACACUUAGUCAUUGUUCAUGGGCUAAGGAGAUACAUGGAAAGACAAAUAAUAGAGAAGUGAGAAGAUCAGCAGUAAACAACAGUAAAAAUCGGCAUUCUCAAUCAAUUAUGGACCCAGAAUGAAGCAAAAAUAUAGAAAAUCAAUUUCAAACCUAGCAAUGAACAUGAAAACCCUAAAUAGACUUGAUUUAACUUUAUUUCAGCUAUCAGGUAACCAAAAUUGUUUCAUCACUAUGAAAAGUUCAGAAAUCGCCAAUAAGAUUCAAUGAAACGGUAAAAACAGUGCAGCCGUUUGAUUUUCUGGAAUUUUUCAGCUCUUUUUUCUCUAUGAAACAGUAGAAUUUGCAGGUUUUUGUAUCUUUUCGGUUUUUAGCUCUCAAAAAAUUUGCCUUCUAGGGCAAAAAUAUGGUGCCUUUAUAGGCAAGCAAAUAGGACAACCAUUCAGAUUUAGUUUUUUGUCUCUUGCCCCUUUUUGAAUUUUUAUUCUAGCUUAGGGGUCCCUCAAUUAUUGACUUGUAAUCCAAGUUUUACCUCUCAUAUUUCUGAAAUUCAAAAAAGGACCCUUCACUAGAAGCUUUCUAGGAAAGUUACACUAAGAUUCCCUAAUUUAGAUUACCUAUACUAUCCUUAAUGAUUCCUCAAAAUUACCUAAGCUACCCAAAUAGAUUUGGGCUCAACACACCUGGGCAUCUUUGAAUAGGGUCACAAAUGACUCAAAGAGCCCAAAGCUGUAUCCAAACUAGCCCACAUGAAUAUCCAAGACCCAAAUUCUGACCCAACCAUAUUAAUAACUCGACAAUGGCUCACCAAAGAGCCCAACCAACUUUAAAACUUGUAACCUGAAUUAGUUUUAUCUUUUUGAUAAAAUUUAGCGAAGUUAACCCGAGGCCAUUACUUGUACGAAUUAAUACAGAAACAAGAAAAAAGAAAAAAAAAGCACGAGAAGAAAAGGCAGCAUGGAGAUGGAGGAGACAGAACAGAAAACGAACCCAAAUAAUUAAAUUGCUGAGGAAGACGAUGGAGCAAAGAUAGAGAUAGUACCUUGCCUAGACAAAACUUGAUGACCUCUAUGGCUUCUACUUAACUCGAAGAAAAUAUUGACCAUAUAUUCUCAAGGAAAACUAAGGGCCAAUAUCCGUUUCAAGUCAUAUCGCCCAAAGGAAUUUAAAAACUUGAUGGGUGCUUCUCUCCUCUUCUUUCGUAAUUGAGAUUGUAUUGAUUUGGCGAGUGUCGACGCCCCCUUUUUCAAAGCGGAGAAAUUGGGUUUACGACAUUAUGGACAAAACAACUCUUUUUCCUUUUGAGGAAGCAGGUUACAGAGUUUGAAGAGUCGCCACCUAAUGAUUAUAGUGCAUAAGGACACUUUAAAGAAAGGAAAAAGAUUUUUUGAAAGAAAACUAGAGUUUGGGUAAGGGCUUGAGAUUAUCUCAAGGGGCAGGUGUUAGGCACCCCUAAAGAUCCACUAGUGUGGUUCCCGACCGUGCUUAGUAGUGACUUUAAAAAGAGUGAGAAUAAACAAGCAAAAUUUGCACAUAGGAAGUAUAAACAAAUUGAAAAUUUUGUAAGAAAGAAGACACACGUGAUUUUGAAAAGAGAAAGAUUAGUUUAAGAAAAUAUCAAUUUGGCAAAACAUCAAUAAAUAAGGAAAAAGACAAGGGGUCUUAGGGUUAAACAUAAUACGGAUCACUUCGGUGCAAUACCCAGCAAUCAUUCUCACACGAGAUAUUAGCGCACCGGUCAUCAUAUCCAUAUUCUACCCUUCCCGCCCCAGAGAGGUUAUUUAAUCGUGUGCAUUGUUAUCGCGUCUAUUAUCCGUCCCAUACUAUAGGUCCUAGAGGGUGUUUUAGGACCAUUAUUCCUAUAAGGUGAGAACUAGGUUGAACCCUUAAGUAUAAAGGCAAAAAUACUAAGCGACAUACAAAAGCAAGUAGGACUUCAUAUAAGGGAUCACAUAAAGGCAUGUAAAAGGCUCAAAUACCCCUCCACGAAUAGACAUACAAUUAGCACGCCUCAAUCACAUUUAAGGUCUAAGGGAGUUAGAGUUUAAAAUCUGGAAUAUUCAAAAAUAGAUUAGCAUAGAAGCUGAAAGUUUGGCAGAAUUUGGAAGAAGAGUUCGAAUAACUGAAGGUGAAAUAGUAAAAUACGAAUCAUUUAGGAAUAGAAGAAAACAACUUUUUCAAACACAGGUAAUACUAUAUACGUAUGCAGUACCCUGCAAACAGGAGAACAAUUUUUGACAGUUAGGGUAGAAAAUGUAUAGCACCAGAGAAAGAGGAGUAAAUACAUUAGUAUUAAACACAUUCACAAAAGACGUUUAAAAGCACAGUACUCUACUCUUUUUAAAAAAAAUAGUAGUUUAGUUUCAGAAUGAAAAGUAACAUAUAACGGGACGUAAAAUUUAUUCAGGAUUGCAAAAAGAAAGAGAGAAUACUGAAUAUAUAUUAGUGUAAAAAAAUAGCCUUUGAAAAUUACAGAAGUCGUAAUAAGUUUUUAGGAAAAAUAGUAGUCCAGUCUUGGACUCAAAAAGUAACUUGGUUGAAAACAUAUAGGUAAAAAAGUAAGACAUGAAUUUAGUAGUAAAACCAAACAGACUUCAGGGAGGCAAACAAGUUUGGGCAACUUAAAGAGGUCGAAUGGCUUAGACUUAAGACGAUUAAUCAAUUUUAUUCUGCCUAAGGCUUGCCUAGGCGUUAUAACAAAAAGCGGACAUGCACAUCAUUUCUUAGUUUUAGAGAAAAACCGUUAACCAGCCUUAUGUGAUUGAAUAACUAAUGAGAUGGCCAAAACAUUGCAAGUGGACUCCUAAUUGCAUGAUAUCUAAUGCACAUAAUAGUCCUAAGACAUGAUAUCUAAAUGCAGUAGUAGAGCUUUUAGUUAUUAACCUAUUAUGGUUCCACGUAAUAGUCUUAAAACAUGAUAUCUAAAUGCAGUAGUAGAGUUUUAAUUGUCAACAGAUUAUGGUUAUGAAAAAAUAACAGACUGAAAGCAAAGGAACCUAGGAGCAGAAUUCUAUAUGUAGAAUGCAUGCCUUAUACAUGAUUUCUAUUGCAGGAAUAGGUAAGUAAAAUCCUAUAGACAUGUUCUCUACCCGUACCCUUAAAUAAACAUGCAUAACCCUCCCCAAUUUCACUAUAAACCCCAUUGUUUUAUACAAGUUAUUACAGAUCAAGGAAUUAAAUUACAUUAGUAAAGAGUAAAACAAGAAGUUAUUAUAUAGGGAGCCUUCAGCUAGGCCCAAAACCCCAUUGUUCUUUACAAGUUAUUACAGAUCAAGUAAUUAAAUUACAGUGGUGAAGAGGAAAAUAAGAAGUUAUUCUAUUAAGAGCCUUCACCCAGGCACCCAAGACAAAUCAUCAUUGACAAGUGCAAGUGUGUAAUUGCCAGCCUUCUGCAUCAAAGUUCAGUUGGUACUCAAGAUACCCAAAGCAAUGCUUGCACUAAGGGGCAGGACCUAAAUUCUAAGAGUAGUGCGAUUGUGAUGGAAUUUGAAGGAGUUGAGUUGGAAAAGGUUUUACAUGAAGGACAGUUUGAGAAAACAAUAGUGGAAGAGUGAAAGAGUCCUUUUAAAAUCAAUUGAAGGCUAGUUUUGAAAAUAAAGGGUCACACAAACAAGGGCCAAAGUAAAUGGAACAAAUAGAUCACAAGCAAGAAAACCAGUUACACAUGUAUAACAUAUCAAAGAAAAGUUCAUGCUUCAAAUUAGGAGUCUAGUUCUUACAGCAAUAGACACCAAACAAAAUCAACCUCAGGAAGAGGUUUUAGGGCUAUGGAGUACCCAAGAGGAUCAUGAACACAUGCUAGUAGUGUACAUAAGUAAACAGAAACCUGCAUUGGGGUAGGAAAAGGGGUAAUGAACAUACCAGGUUAAGCUAGGCCUACUAAUUAACACAGAUACAUACUAGUUACAGGAGGAACAACAGAACCAUAAGUAGAAGAACAUAAGGAACAAAAGAAAGUGCAACAGCAAUAGAAGCAUAUUGUUUUGAGGCUAUAAUUUAAAUAGUAUACAUACCAGUUAAAAAUAAUGUAACACAGAGCAAUAGUGAGCAAUAAUGUGCAGAGAAGUGAGCAAUUGCUCGCAGAGAGUAUGCAGAGAAAAGGGCAGCAAUAUGCAAAGAAGUGAACAGUAGGUAGACCAAAGCAAGCAAUACAGUAGAGGCCACCAGGGUGGUAAAAGUGACCAGGAUCACUCAAUCUUGACUUUCAGCCAAUUGAGUAAUUAGCAUUCAACAGGAAAGUGAAAGAAGUUGUGUAGAACAAUAGAGAGCAUCAAAUAUGUUUGUGUGAUAGAGAGAGAGUUCAGAGAAAUGGGUUUAUUCGUGUCUGUGUGUGUGUGUAUUAAGUGAGAAAAGAAGAGUAAUACUUAUAGUUUUUUAAAACAGUAGAGAAUAGGGCAUAAUUAUAGAAGCAGCACCCAAUUAAAUCAAUCACAUGUCCUAAUUUCCUUAAAUCAGGGAUUCAUGAUUCGAAUAGGAGUACAGAUUAUCAUGUAAGGAAAGAGUCAAUUAGAUGACUGAUUAUACCAUAAUAAGAGCAAUACGCAUGGAACACGUAAUAAAGGCUAGGUACAUAAUGCUUAAAACAAGGAAAAUGUAUGCAGAAUAAUUGGAAAUAUACUUAAGUGCCCAAGUAUGGUAACCAUAUAAAUUAGCUCUGAAAAAUAAGUCAGAGAAUCAUGGAGAAAACCAAAGGUAGAGGGAACCAAUACCAAUUAGAGAAAGCAACUCACAAAUAAGGAAAUAAUUCAAAACUAGUGUAAGAACCCUUAAGGAGAACGCAUGCAAUUCAGGGAUUCAAAAAGAUGCUCAGAAUUAGCAGAAUAUUUAGUAAAGGGGAGCAUUCAAACUUAUUUAAACACAAUAGUCUCAAAAUUAAGAACCCUAGGUAAGAAAUCACUUAAAAAAGCAGGGAGUCGGAACCCUAAAAAAGGUCUAAAGCAUGGAACUUAGAAAUAAACAAGUUGAUAAUAUAAUCAAACACAUAAUCAUAGGAAUAAUCACAUAACACUCAAAUCAACAGAAGGUGUAGCGAUUUUGGAAUGGAUCGAGAAAUCCUAGUUUUGAAAAGAGGAACAAGAGCGUUUAAACUUGAGCCGAUCGAAGAUGUCGAGUGGAAAAUAGUGUAAUAAACAAAGAUUAAACUAGAAAUCAUUUAAAAGACAUGGAAUAAAAAUUAGGGUUUGUAAUAAAAUCAGUGAGAUGAGAAACCUGGUCGUGAAACUUGCUAAUAACGACAUUAAAGGCAUCAUCGGACCAAAACCCAUCGGAGAAAGGCCGGAGAUAGCCAAGCGAGGUUUCCAGGGACUGCCUUUCAUGGUGGAAGCUUCUGAGGCUUCAAACCGUGGAGAGAAACAACGAGAUAAGUUCUCAUGGCGAUUAAAGGUCGAGAGGAGUGAGGUCGGAGAGGCGAUGAAACCCAUUGGAGAAGAAAGAGAGAACCAGAAGGUUCAGAGAGAAGGGAGAGAAAAUGUUAGAGAGAGAACCGGUCUUUGAGAGAAUGAGGAGUCGGGGGGUAGGCUAGGCUUUAAAUAAGGUAAAUGAAUCUGGGCCGUUGAUCUCAUUUGAUCAACGACUCAAAUUGAAUCAAGGCUGGGUCGGGCUAACAGGUCAGGUCCAAAUUGGAAUGUGGGUUGGCUGAAUUGAGUUUAAAAUUGGGGUGAAUUAAGACUAAAAUUGAAAUAGAAAUGGGUCAGUUCUUAAAUAGCCACUUUCUGACUUUUUAAUUAAUUAAAAUAGUUAAAAAAAAUUAAAAUUAAAUUAAAAAUACUGAACUAAUUAAUAAUAUAUAAACAAUAAUCUAAAAAUAUAGGAAUAGUUUUACAAUAAAAAAAUACAAUUAAUUACAAUAUAGGAUUCAAUUGUAAUUAUAUAUAAUUUGGCUUAAAAGCCAAAUAAAUUUGUAAAAAAAUGAAAAAAUCAUAUUAAAUAUGUUUUGAUAAAAAUAUGAGGAUAAAAUAUGUUAUUCACCAAAAUGAUAAUUUCUGGGAAUAAUUUUGGGAUUUUUUUGGUAUUAAAAUAGGCAAUAAAUUGUUUUUAAAAAUUAUUAAAAUAGCAAAACUCAUUCGUGUACAUAUACGCUAUUUUUGAAGUAUCUUGGGGUAUAAGAAAAACAUAGGCAAAAUUGGGUAUCAACAGCGAGGAUAUGGGAAAACAUGAUGGCAGAGUGGGGUUAAAGAGAGGGAAAAGAUAGCAUGGAUAAGGUUUAAGGUCGAACAGGCACCACCAGAGAAACUGUAGAGGCGCUAGGGGUUUGAUCUUUGAUUUGAUAUUUGAGAAGUUCCACAAAGAUUCGAAGGAAAUAGAUGCCAGAUGUGUUAUAAGGCGAUGAAAAGGGUGUUGUGUUGUAAAUUUGGUUGGGAUUGGACGUCGGCCACCGCCGUAGACGAUUUUCGGCCUUGGCAGAUGGUGAAGAUGGGCGGAGGGGACUGCACUCUGAGAGAGACGAGUGUGGGUGGUGGGGGGUCGAAGUACAGAGGUAUGAGGUUGUUUGGACAUUGAUAUGUGAUAUGGGGAAGUGAGGAUGACCGUUGUAUUGAAGGAGAUCAACGGCCCGGAUCAAGACCUAGACAAAACGGGGUCGUUUGGUGGGGGUGUGGAGACGGAUCUUUUCCUUUUCCAAAAACCUUUUUAAUUCCUUUUCUUUCAUUUUUCUCUUUUUUUCUAAAAAUAAAAAUAACACUCAACUCAAUUCUUAACCUAAAUUAUUCUAGAAAAUUAAAUUAGUUGACCCUAGUAAUUAUUACAACUUAUUAAAUGCCAUAUUAAAGGAAACCCAAACAAAUUCAAAUCUAAAAAUUUGAUAAUACAUCAUAAACCAUUUUUGUGAUUUUUCCCUUUUCAUAAAACAACCAAUUUGCUAAUUAAUCUUAAAAUGCAGUUAAAUCCUAAAAUGCAAAUGCAAUAUUUUUGUAUUUUCUCACUAAUUAAAAUGCACAAAUAAAAUGCAAACAAUUAACAGAAAAAGCCACGAAAAUCCACAAAAAUUGCAAUCACUGAAAGAAACUAUUUUGUUUUGAAUUUAUGGGAGUAAUCAUAUAGGGCAAAAAUCACGUGCUCACAGUUACGAAACAUGUAGAAACACAUUUAACUAUAUAGGUGCAUCACACCCCAAUGUGUGAUUACCUAUGUGUUAAUUGCUUCAAACUGACCGGUUUGUUGUCUUAAGUUCAGAUUCUAUAGUAAGGUGGUGGCUGAUUUUGUGGUAGUCUGGCUUCACAUCCAUACUUCACGAAGUCAAAAGGAAUUGUUGAAAUGUCUUCGAAAAGUCAUCUGCCCAUAGUUCCUAUUCCGGAGGAUAGUCCGAUCUCGGCUAUCCCAACUUCUGAGUCAGCAACUGCUUAGGAAAAUAGGAUUCUGCAUUCUCCGCAUGAUGGAAAUAUGGGACGCCUAGGCCAACGGAAGAGCACCACCAAGUGCAAUACCCAGAUUCUCUGAGCUGUUUCCUAGGGCAAGUGGGACGUCCAACAUCCCCAUAAGUUAUCCAAAUACCCCAUUGAGAUAUUCUACCAUUUCAGCCCAUUUUGCUGGAAAACCUUCUGAGGCUCGCCCCCAGUUGUUAACUUCAGGUGCGGCUUCAAAUAUAUUCACUGCGCCACCUUGUUCAACUACUGCACAACGUAAUCUACCUAGGACUAGCUUCGAUCCAUCUUCCUUCACAUUUCAAGAGCCAUCUUUCACACUGGAACCUACCCAAUUUACUACCAAUGCUGACCCUCAGCUGUCUCGGUAUGAGUUUACUGUAGGGCAGGAGAAAACCACAAAACUCCUGAAAAAUAGGAGAUUACCAAAAAUAUGAGAAGCAUGGAGCAAAGUCUCAAAAAUAUACAGGAUCUGGGUCGGCAGAAGAGUGUAUCCUACGCUGACCUGUGCAUGUUCUCGCACGUAAUUUACCCUUGGGUUUCAAAUCACCACCACCACCAACAACAACUACCCAGUAAUGUCCCACAAAGUGGGGUCUGGGGAGGGUAAUAUGUAGACGAGNNNNNNNNNNNNNNNNNNNNNNNNNNNNNNNNNNNNNNNNNNNNNNNNNNNNNNNNNNNNNNNNNNNNNNNNNNNNNNNNNNNNNNNNNNNNNNNNNNNNNNNNNNNNNNNNNNNNNNNNNNNNNNNNNNNNNNNNNNNNNNNNNNNNNNNNNNNNNNNNNNNNNNNNNNNNNNNNNNNNNAAGGGCAGAGAGGCUGUUUCCAGUCGACCCUCGGCUCAGUGAAGGAGAGGAAAAACAAAAACAAAAACAAAAACAAAAGAGCAUUAGUUAGUCCAGCAGAAAUAACAUAAAUAGCUAUCUAAACAUAAGAACCAUAAGUAAAUAGCAUGCAAUAAAAUCAUACAGUAACUUCCAUAAGGGACACACAAUCCAAAACACAUAACAUCUAUGGAUAGCCCUGUCAAGUCUCACCCAACCCCGGGUGAGUAGUAUGAAAAACUCUAGGGGCCCCUAUCCUACAACCCUGAUACUAGACCUCCAAACUUUCCUAUAGGGCCAUGUCCUCGGAAACCUGCAUACUAGCCAUGUCAUGCCUAAUCACCUCUCCCCAAUACCUCUUCGGCCUCCCUCUGCCUCGCCGAACGCCGACCAUCGCCAGCCGCUCACAACUCCUUACCGGGGCAUCAGGACUNN